CGCGCAAUGCAAACGGUGGUUAGCGUGGUUUAGCGGGAAGGCAGACCUGAGGCCAUAGCGCUGCCGUCGCAAGUUUUCAUCCAAGAUUUACUCCAUACUGGGAAGCGCACAACUAGUGUGUCCAUGAGGCAACCGACAUUAGUGACCGGAGGAGUUCCUUCCUUAAUAUUAAAGCAAUAUUAAAGCAAGUAAGGCUUCUGCCUCGUUUUUUUAAAUCCGUCGUGACAAGUGGGACGUCCCACUUAUCAUAGGGACAGGCAAAGGAAGGAAUCGGCGCUUACGACGGCGGGCGGCGCUCCGUCCUGUUCUUCCCCAGCGGCAGGAGCCGACGGCCGAAGCCGUGGCCGUCAGCUCCUGCAACGGCUGGCUCUCCAUCAUCAGUGUUCCUCCUCUACAGAAGGCUGGAGAUCUCCCGCUCCCCUGCUGCCAUGCCGUCGUGGAGCCGGAAGAUGGUCCCUUCCAACGCCGCUGAAUGCCUGGCGUGGUGGUGCCCUGGACCUGGUGCCCGCUGGCCUACCGCCCCUCGAGAUUGCGGAGCUGAGAACACCCUGAAGCCAGGAGAUGUCAUCCAGUACCGUGAAUGUGGAUACCUCAUCCUCUACUAGAAGCGAACCCGCCGCAAUGGCUUCUUUGAAAUAAUCUGAGGACCCUCCAUCGAUAAACCUAAACGGGACUCACCGGCACAGAUGGUGACAACAUUAGAAAUGGCAGUGGGUCCAUGACAAUUGACAUCGAGCUACCACCAACUACUCACAGAUUCUAAAGAACAUAAGAGUCGGCUAGCAAGAAAGAAAUAGAAAUCAAGCUCUGCUCCACAAAUGGGAGGUGCAAAAUCAAGGUCCUAUUGUAUUUUUUUUUUGUUGCUGAUAUGUGUUUCCUUGGCGGUUGGCAGCGAGGAAAUAAAAAUUCGUAGCUAAGGAUUGCGAUUUACUUGGCAGGCGAGGGCAGCCAAUGAUUGCAAUUUACUUGACGGGUGAGGGCAGCCAAUUAAGGACGGCUGCCAAGAAAACUAAUUUGCUUGGCAGUUAUGUCUAGAUAUAUAAUGAAAAUUAUGAAUCUAGAAAUAUCAAAUCGACCUACGAUUUCGGAUGGAGGGAGUAAUAAUAUAUAUAAAGAUAUUUAUCCCUCUUAAGUCUUAUCUUGUGUAAUAUUCUUGGAAAAAGAAAAGGACAAUUACUGGUGAUCAAACU